rnacentral:rRNA from 1 species
GAUGAACGCUGGCGGCGUGCCUAAUACAUGCAAGUCGAGCGAAUGGAUUAAGAGCUUGCUCUUAUGAAGUUAACGGCGGACGGGUGAGUAACACGUGGGUAACCUGCCCAUAAGACUGGGAUAACCCCGGGAAACCGGGGCUAAUACCGGAUAACAUUUUGAACCGCAUGGUUCGAAAUUGAAAGGCGGCUUCGGCUGUCACUUAUGGAUGGACCCGCGUCGCAUUAGCUAGUUGGUGAGGUAACGGCUCACCAAGGCAACGACGCGUAGCCGACCUGAGAGGGUGAUCGGCCACACUGGGACUGAGACACGGCCCAGACUCCUACGGGAGGCAGCAGUAGGGAAUCUUCCGCAAUGGACGAAAGUCUGACGGAGCAACGCCGCGUGAGUGAUGAAGGCUUUCGGGUCGUAAAACUCUGUUGUUAGGGAAGAACAAGUGCUAGUUGAAUAAGCUGGCACCUUGACGGUACCUAACCAGAAAGCCACGGCUAACUACGUGCCAGCCGCCGCAGUAA